UACGGAGGGUGCAAGCGUUAUCCGGAUUUAUUGGGCUUAAAGGGUGCGUAGGUGGGGUGGUAAGUCAGUGGUGAAAUCUCCGAGCUUAACUUGGAAACUGCCAUUGAUACUAUCAUUCUUGAAUAUUGUGGAGGUCAGCGGAAUAUGUCAUGUAGCGGUGAAAUGCUUAGAUAUGACAUAGAACACCAAUUGCGAAGGCAGCUGGCUACACAUAUAUUGACACUGAGGCACGAAAGCGUGGGGAUCAAACAGG
rnacentral:rRNA from 1 species